CGGGAGCGAGCUACCAUGCAGUCGAGCGGAACGAUCCUAGCUUGCUAGGAGGCGUCGAGCGGCGGACGGGUGAGUAAUGCAUAGGAAUCUGCCCGGUAGUGGGGGAUAACCUGGGGAAACCCAGGCUAAUACCGCAUACGUCCUACGGGAGAAAGCAGGGGAUCUUCGGACCUUGCGCUAUCGGAUGAGCCUAUGUCGGAUUAGCUUGUUGGUGAGGUAAUGGCUCACCAAGGCGACGAUCCGUAGCUGGUCUGAGAGGAUGAUCAGCCACAUCGGGACUGAGACACGGCCCGAACUCCUACGGGAGGCAGCAGUGGGGAAUAUUGGACAAUGGGCGAAAGCCUGAUCCAGCCAUGCCGCGUGUGUGAAGAAGGCUUUCGGGUUGUAAAGCACUUUCAGUGAGGAAGAAAGCCUUCGGCCUAAUACGCCGAAGGAACGACAUCACUCACAGAAGAAGCACCGGCUAACUCCGUGCCAGCAGCCGCGGUAAUACGGAGGGUGCGAGCGUUAAUCGGAAUUACUGGGCGUAAAGCGCGCGUAGGUGGCUUGAUAAGCCGGUUGUGAAAGCCCCGGGCUCAACCUGGGAACGGCAUCCGGAACUGUCAGGCUAGAGUGCAGGAGAGGAAGGUAGAAUUCCCGGUGUAGCGGUGAAAUGCGUAGAGAUCGGGAGGAAUACCAGUGGCGAAGGCGGCCUUCUGGACUGACACUGACACUGAGGUGCGAAAGCGUGGGUAGCAAACAGGAUUAGAUACCCUGGUAGUCCACGCCGUAAACGAUGUCGACUAGCCGUUGGGGUCCUUGAGACCUUUGUGGCGCAGUUAACGCGAUAAGUCGACCGCCUGGGGAGUACGGCCGCAAGGUUAAAACUCAAAUGAAUUGACGGGGGCCCGCACAAGCGGUGGAGCAUGUGGUUUAAUUCGAUGCAACGCGAAGAACCUUACCUACCCUUGACAUCGUGCGAACUUUCCAGAGAUGGAUUGGUGCCUUCGGGAACGCACAGACAGGUGCUGCAUGGCUGUCGUCAG
rnacentral:rRNA from 1 species